AUUGAACGCUAGCGGCAUGCCUAACACAUGCAAGUCGAACGGCAGCACAGCGUGUAGCAAUACAUGUGGGUGGCGAGUGGCGGACGGGUGAGUAAUACGUAGGAAUCUGCCUUGUAGUGGGGGAUAACCCGGGGAAACUCGGGCUAAUACCGCAUAAUCCCUACGGAGCAAAGUGGGGGAUCUUCGGACCCCACGCUAAAAGAUGAGCCUACGACGGAUUAGCUAGUUGGUAGGGUAAAGGCCUACCAAGGCAACAAUCCGUAGCUGGUCUGAGAGGAUGAUCAGCCACACUGGGACUGAGACACGGCCCAGACUCCUACGGGAGGCAGCAGUGGGGAAUAUUGGACAAUGGGGGGAACCCUGAUCCAGCAAUACCGCGUGUGUGAAGAAGGCCUUCGGGUUGUAAAGCACUUUUAGUGGGGAAGAAAAAAUCAAGACUAAUAUUCUUGAGAAUUGACGUUACCCGCAGAAAAAGCACUGGCUAACUCUGUGCCAGCCGCCGCCGUAA
rnacentral:rRNA from 1 species